AACGAACGCUGGCGGCGCGCCUAAUACAUGCAAGUCGAGCGAGAAGACGUAGCAAUACGUUUGUAAAGCGGCGAACGGGUGAGGAAUACAUGGGUAACCUACCCUCGAGUGGGGAAUAACUAGCCGAAAGGUUAGCUAAUACCGCGUACGCUCCUCGGACUUCGGUUCAGGGAGGAAAGCGAUACCGUGGGUAUCGCGCUCUUGGAUGGGCUCAUGUCCUAUCAGCUUGUUGGUGAGGUAACGGCUCACCAAGGCUUCGACGGGUAGCUGGUCUGAGAGGACGAUCAGCCACACUGGCACUGCGACACGGGCCAGACUCCUACGGAGGCAGCAGUAAGGAAUAUUGCGCAAUGGGCGAAAGCCUGACGCAGCGACGCC
rnacentral:rRNA from 1 species